GAGUUUGAUCAUGGCUCAGGACGAACGCUGGCGGCGUGCUUAACACAUGCAAGUCGAACGAAGAGCGAUGGAAGCUUGCUUCUAUCAAUCUUAGUGGCGAACGGGUGAGUAACGCGUAAUCAACCUGCCCUUCAGAGGGGGACAACAGUUGGAAACGACUGCUAAUACCGCAUACGAUCUGACCUCGGCAUCGAGGAUAGAUGAAAGGUGGCCUCUAUUUAUAAGCUAUCACUGAAGGAGGGGAUUGCGUCUGAUUAGCUAGUUGGAGGGGUAACGGCCCACCAAGGCGAUGAUCAGUAGCCGGUCUGAGAGGAUGAACGGCCACAUUGGGACCGAGACACGGCCCAGACUCCUACGGGAGGCAGCAGUGGGGAAUCUUCCGCAAUGGACGAAAGUCUGACGGAGCAACGCCGCGUGAGUGAUGACGGCCUUCGGGUUGUAAAGCUCUGUUAAUCGGGACGAAAGGCCUUCUUGCGAAUAGUUAGAAGGAUUGACGGUACCGGAAUAGAAAGCCACGGCUAACUACGUGCCAGCAGCCGCGGUAAUACGUAGGUGGCAAGCGUUGUCCGGAAUUAUUGGGCGUAAAGCGCGCGCAGGCGGAUUAGUCAGUCUGUCUUAAAAGUUCGGGGCUUAACCCCGUGAUGGGAUGGAAACUGCCAAUCUAGAGUAUCGGAGAGGAAAGUGGAAUUCCUAGUGUAGCGGUGAAAUGCAUAGAUAUUAGGAAGAACACCAGUGGCGAAGGCGACUUUCUGGACGAAAACUGACGCUGAGGCGCGAAAGCCAGGGGAGCGAACGGAUUAGAUACCCCGGUAGUCCUGGCCGUAAACGAUGGGUACUAGGUGUAGGAGGUAUCGACCCCUUCUGUGCCGGAGUUAACGCAAUAAGUACCCCGCCUGGGGAGUACGACCGCAAGGUUGAAACUCAAAGGAAUUGACGGGGGCCCGCACAAGCGGUGGAGUAUGUGGUUUAAUUCGACGCAACGCGAAGAACCUUACCAGGUCUUGACAUUGAUGGACAGAACUAGAGAUAGUUCCUCUUCUUCGGAAGCCAGAAAACAGGUGGUGCACGGUUGUCGUCAGCUCGUGUCGUGAGAUGUUGGGUUAAGUCCCGCAACGAGCGCAACCCCUAUCUUAUGUUGCCAGCACUUCGGGUGGGAACUCAUGAGAGACUGCCGCAGACAAUGCGGAGGAAGGCGGGGAUGACGUCAAAUCAUCAUGCCCCUUAUGACCUGGGCUACACACGUACUACAAUGGGAGUUAAUAGACGGAAGCAAUACCGCGAGGUGGAGCAAACCCGAGAAACACUCUCUCAGUUCGAAUCGUAGGCUGCAACUCGCCUACGUGAAGUCGGAAUCGCUAGUAAUCGCAGGUCAGCAUACUGCGGUGAAUACGUUCCCGGGCCUUGCACACACCGCCCGUC
rnacentral:rRNA from 1 species